rnacentral:tRNA from 1 species
CGUAGCGCAGCCUGGUAGCGCACCGUCAUGGGGUGUCGGGGGUCGGAGGUUCAAAUCCUCUCG